rnacentral:rRNA from 1 species
GAUGAACGCUGGCGGCGUGCCUAAUACAUGCAAGUCGAGCGAAUGGAUUAAGAGCUUGCUCUUAUGAAGUUAGCGGCGGACGGGUGAGUAACACGUGGGUAACCUGCCCAUAAGACUGGGAUAACUCCAGGAAACCGGGGCUAAUACCGGAUAACAUUUUGAACCGCAUGGUUCGAAAUUGAAAGGCGGCUUCGGCUGUCACUUAUGGAUGGACCCGCGUCGCAUUAGCUAGUUGGUGAGGUAACGGCUCACCAAGGCAACGAUGCGUAGCCGACCUGGGAGGGUGAUCGGCCACACUGGGGCUGAGACACGGCCCAGACUCCUACGGGAGGCAGCAGUAGGGAAUCUUCCGCAAUGGACGAAAGUCUGACGGAGCAACGCCGCGUGAGUGAUGAAGGCUUUCGGGUCGUAAAGCUCUGUUGUUAGGGAAGAACAAGUGCUAGUUGAAUAAGCUGGCACCUUGACGGUACCUAACCAGAAAGCCACGGCUAACUACGUGCCAGCAGCCGCAGUAA